CCUACGGGCGGCAGCAGUGGGGGAUAUUGCACAAUGGGGGGAACCCUGAUGCAGCGACGCCGCGUGGGUGAAGGAGUGUUUCGGCGCGUAAAGCCCUAUCGGCAGGGAAGAAGAUGACGGUACUUGACUAAGAAGCUCCGGCUAACUACGUGCCAGCAGCCGCGGUAAUACGUAGGGGGCAAGCGUUAUCCGGAUUUACUGGGUGUAAAGGGGGCGCAGACGGCACUGCAAGCCAGAUGUGAAAGCCCGGGGCCCAACCCCGGGACUGCACUUGGAACUGCAUGGCUGGAGUGCAGGAGGGGCAAGCGGAAUUCCUAGUGUAGCGGUGAAAUGCGUAGAUAUUAGGAGGAACACCAGUGGCGAAGGCGGCCUGCUGGACUGUAACUGACGUUGAGGCCCGAAAGCGUGGGGAGCAAACAGGAUUAGAUACCCGAGUAGUC
rnacentral:rRNA from 1 species